GCGGUUAUGGCGGAACUGGUAGACGCGCUACCUUGAGGUGGUAGUGGGGCAACCCUUGGGAGUUCGAGUCUCCCUAACCGCACCA
rnacentral:tRNA from 1 species